GACGAACGCUGGCGGCGUGCUUAACACAUGCAAGUCGAACGGAAAGGCCCUGCUUUUGUGGCGUUCUCGAGUGGCGAACGGGUGAGUAACACGUGAGUAACCUGCCCUUGACUUUGGGAUAACUUCACGAAACUGGGGCUAAUACCCGAUAUGAGCUCCUGCUGCAUGGUGGUGGUUGGAAAGUUUCGGCGGUUGGGGAUGGACUCGCGGCUUAUCAGCUUGUUUGUGGAGUAGUGGCUUACCAAGUCUUUGACGGGUAGCCGGCCUGAGAGGGUGACCGGCCACAUUGGGACUGAGAUACGGCCCAGAAUCCUACGGGAGGCAGCAGUGGGGAAUAUUGCACAAUGGGCGGGAGCCUGAUGCAGCAACGCCGCGUGCGGGAUGACGGCCUUCGGGUUGUAAACCGCUUUCGCCUGUGACGAAGCGUGAGUGACGGUAAUGGGUAAAGAAGCACCGGCUAACUACGUG
rnacentral:rRNA from 1 species